UUCACCGGAUCCGCCCCAGCCGGCACGGUCAGAAAGAGGAGCGGAAGAACCGCGCGCCAGGCGGCGCCUGGCGUGAAGAGUAAGCGCUUCGAGGGAAAGCCGGCUGGCUCUGGACUGCGCAUGGCGCGAAGUAUUGCCGAUA
rnacentral:ncRNA from 1 species